AUGUGUUGCAACCAUCAUGGUCAUCAUUGCCGAUUUGUCAUGGUGAUCGUGGUCGUCGUCAUUGAUCGUUGCCGUCAUGAAAGUACUCGGCGUCAACUAGGCCAACACUAUGCAUCCAUGGCUAACUAUCAAGCUAGCUGCUUGCCCUCACACGCAACACUAAUCCACUCAGAUUGCACGAGCGAGUUCGGGAGUUUUGACAGAACAUGA
rnacentral:rRNA from 1 species